rnacentral:ncRNA from 1 species
CGUGCGGCAACGCUCGGCGUGACGGGACAGAAGUCAGCAGAGGCCGUAGUAGCCGGGCGAGUAUGGAGCGCGUGCCCGACGAAGGGC